rnacentral:RNase_P_RNA from 1 species
CCGGGCGAUCGCGGGGCAGGCGCCGGUUCAUGCCGGCGAAUGCCUCGAGGAAAGUCCGGACACCACAGGGCAGCGCGCCUCGUGAAAACGGGGGACGGUUCGGCGUAAGCCGGACCGGACGGAAAGUGCAGCAGAAAAAAUACCGCCCCGAGCCUCGGCGAGGGGUAAGGGUGAAAAGGUGGGGUAAGAGCCCACCGCUCCAAGGGUAACCGAGGAGGCACGGCAAACCCCGCGUGGUGCAAGACAGAACAGGGGAAGGGUCGCCCGCCCGACCAGGAUCCCCGGGUAUUAGUCGCACCCCGCCUCGGCGGGGUCCGCCCGCGGCAACGCGGGGGGAAGAGAAAUGAUCGUCACCCCGGGCCGGCCGCAAGGCUGCGCGGGGCACAGAAUCCGGCUUACAGG